AUCAACUUUCGAUUGGUAGGAUAGAGGCCUACCNNNGNGGUAACGGGUAACGGGGUGUUAGGGCACGACACCGGAGAGGGAGCCUGAGAAACGGCUACCACAUCCAAGGAUGGCAGCAGGCGCGCAAAUUACCCAAUCCCGACACGGGGAGGUAGUGACAAUAAAUAACAAUACGGGGUUCUUAAGGAUCUCGUAAUUGGAAUGAGUACAAUUUAAAUCUCUUAACGAGGAACAAUUGGAGGGCAAGUCUGGUGCCAGCAGCCGCGGUAAUUCCAGCUCCAAUAGCGUAUAUUAAAGUUGUUGCAGUUAAAAAGCUCGUAGUUGAAUUUCGGGGUUAGUAGGUUGGUCAUGCCUCUGGUAUGUACUGGUCUCACUGACUCCUCCUUCCUUAUGAACCGUAAUGCCAUUAAUUUGGUGUUGCGGGGAAUUUGGACUGUUACUUUGAAAAAAUUAGAGUGUUUAAAGCAGGCUAACGCUUGAAUACAUUAGCAUGGAAUAAUGAAAUAGGACGUUCGAUCUUAUUUUGUUGGUUUCUAGGAUUGACGUAAUGAUUAAUAGGGAUAGUUGGGGGCAUUAGUAUUCAAUUGUCAGAGGUGAAAUUCUUGGAUUUAUUGAAGACUAACUACUGCGAAAGCAUUUGCCAAGGAUGUUUUCAUUAAUCAAGAACGAAAGUUAGGGGAUCGAAGACGAUCAGAUACCGUCGUAGUCUUAACCAUAAACUAUGCCGACUAGGGAUCGGAUGAUGUUAAUUUUUUAAUGACUCAUUCGGCGCCUUACGGGAAACCAAAGUGUUUGGGUUC
rnacentral:rRNA from 1 species